GGAGGUAUAGCUCAGAGGUAGAGCACUUACUUAGCAUGUGUGAGACACUGGGUUUGAUCCCCAGCACUGCUG
rfam:Ictidomys tridecemlineatus contig092429, whole genome shotgun sequence.